CAUGGAAAAUUUGAACGUGAUAGAACAAUAGAUUUACGAUAAUCAACAGGCCGCGAUAAAAGUGCAACGUCGAGAAUUGUAACAUUGAUUAAAAUGUUGUAAAGUUGUAUAAUUUCUAUUUAAUUAAUCAUUAAGGUGUGUCAAAUUGAGAGUAUAGCGGUCUAUAGUGACAAAGUCAUAGCCAGAGACUGAAUUUGCAGAGACUGAAUUUGUUAAAACGUCUGUAGCUAAAUAAAAAUCGUCCAUUGUCCAGGUUUUAGCCGAAAUGCGUCCAGUCCAUCGUCCAGUCCAGUCCAUCGUCCAGUCCAGUCCAUGGUACAGUCCAGUCCAUAAUCCAGUCCAUAGUCCAGUUCAGAGUCCAGUCCAGGUUUUAGCACAUGCCGCUUACAUUGGCGAUUUGCAACGUUUCGGACCAAUCAUAUCGCAAGGCUUUGGUAGCCACACCUAUUAAAUGGUAAUAACAAUUUGAAUUUUGAAAAGUAUGUCAGUUACUUAUUUUGAAAAGUAUGUCACACUCAACUGGCCGCCAUCUUGAAACUGAACUGGAACAUUGUACCCUGAGACUGCGAUCUCUUGAUGGAAAGUCGCGUCUGUCAUUGUGAAACCAAAAAAAAAACACAACGAAAAAUACAGAAAGUCGAUCCCCAUUUUAUAAGCAUUGUCAUAAC